rnacentral:lncRNA from 1 species
GCGAAAUACAGGGGCAGAGGAGGCAGCAGGGAGGCCCUGGGAGCUCUUUGAAUCCCCAGGUAGCCUAUUCCUGCCUGGCACCACUGGGAUUCAUCAGGAGGGAGGCCAGAGGAGCAGGAGGUGGGAGGCGGAAAGCCUCGGGCAAGUUUUCAAGCCCGUCCUCUGUCUGGAAACAGACUCAGAGGUGUUGCAGGGGACACGGUGGGAGUGAGACCAGCCCUUCGGUGUGCGUGGGAUCUGGGGGAGGCCUGUGACUGCCGGCUUUCCCCUGCUUCUCUGACAACCUGCAUGACUCAGCAGAGGCAGCCAUAAUCCUGGAGAGCCCCGGUUUAAGAUCUCCAGUCAGAACCUUCAGGAAGGGGAGAGUGGCUCAUGGGCUGAGUGGAUAAACCACAAAAUGGGUAAUAUACUAUAGGAGGCAGAGUUUGAGAUCGACGUCCCCCUGCACCUGGGGCGCCUCCUGAUGGUGAAGCUGCGCAAACACAACGUGCUGUUGAGUCUCGACUGGUUCUGCAAGUGGAUCUCAGUGCAGGGCCCGGGGACCCAAGGCGAGGCCUUUUUCCCCUGCUACCGCUGGGUGCAGGGCCACGGAAUUAUCUGCCUGCCUGAGGGUACUGGUGGGGCUCCUGGAAAGAUGGGUUAAUCCUGCCUAUAGCAGGGAAUAGGCAACCGGACCUUCCUAGGGACGAGCGAUUCCUCGAGGAUAAGGAUUUAGACUUUAAUGUCUCCCUAGCAAAAGGGUUGAAGGACUUGGCCAUUAAGGGGACACUGGAUUUCAUAAAUUGUGUGAAAAGGCUGGAAGAUUUCAAAAAAAUAUUCCCACAUGGAAAGACUGUCCUGGCUGAGCGGGUUUAUGAUUCUUGGAAGAAUGAUGCCUUCUUUGGGUACCAGUUUCUCAAUGGUGCAAACCCCAUGCUCCUGAGGUGUUCUUCAAGGCUCCCAGCCUGCCUGGUGCUGCCUCCAGGGAUGGAAGACUUGAAGACC